rnacentral:rRNA from 1 species
GCAGUCGAACGGCAGCACGGGAGCAAUCCUGGGUGGCGAGUGGCGAACGGGUGAGUAAUACAUCGGAACGUGCCCAAUCGUGGGGGAUAACGCAGCGAAAGCUGUGCUAAUACCGCAUACGAUCUACGGAUGAAAGCAGGGGAUCGCAAGACCUUGCGCGAAUGGAGCGGCCGAUGGCAGAUUAGGUAGUUGGUGAGGUAAAGGCUCACCAAGCCUUCGAUCUGUAGCUGGUCUGAGAGGACGACCAGCCACACUGGGACUGAGACACGGCCCAGACUCCUACGGGAGGCAGCAGUGGGGAAUUUUGGACAAUGGGCGAAAGCCUGAUCCAGCCAUGCCGCGUGCAGGAUGAAGGCCUUCGGGUUGUAAACUGCUUUUGUACGGAACGAAAAGGUUCUUUCUAAUAAAGAGAGCUCAUGACGGUACCGUAAGAAUAAGCACCGGCUAACUACGUGCCAGCAGCCGCGGUAAUACGUAGGGUGCAAGCGUUAAUCGGAAUUACUGGGCGUAAAGCGUGCGCAGGCGGUUAUAUAAGACAGUUGUGAAAUCCCCGGGCUCAACCUGGGAACUGCAUCUGUGACUGUAUAGCUAGAGUACGGUAGAGGGGGAUGGAAUUCCGCGUGUAGCAGUGAAAUGCGUAGAUAUGCGGAGGAACACCGAUGGCGAAGGCAAUCCCCUGGACCUGUACUGACGCUCA